AAGGUAACUCCCAAACCCAUGUGACUCCAUUGUUGCUCGGCGGAGCACCUGAGUACCGAUGGGGCGUUACCUAUCAGCUUCUGCGGUGGAUCGACUUGAUAUGUAAUCUGAGCGUCUUAUUUUAAAUAAGUAAAAACUUUUAACAACGGAUCUCUUGGUUCUGGCAUCGAUGAAGAACGCAGCGAAAUGCGAUAAGUAAUGUGAAUUGCAGAAUUCAGUGAAUCAUCGAAUCUUUGAACGCACAUUGCGCCCAUUAGUAUUCUAGUGGGCAUGCCUGUUCGAGCGUCAUUUCAACCCUUAAGCCUAGCUUAGUGUUGGGAGUCUACUGUACUGUAGUUCCUGAAAACCAACGGCGGAUCUGCUGUAUCCUCUGAGCGUAGUAAAUUAUUAUCUCGCUUUUGUCAGGUGCAGCAGCCCUUGCCGCUAAACCCCCAAUUUCUUAUGGUUGACCUCGGAUCAGGUAGGACCAU
rnacentral:rRNA from 1 species